rnacentral:sRNA from 1 species
AAGGGACCUAGCGUAGUUCGGAAUUACUGGGCUUAAAGAGUUCGUAGGUGGUUGAAAAAGUUGGUGGUGAAAUCCCAGAGCUUAACUCUGGAACUGCCAUCAAAACUUUUCAGCUAGAGUAUGAUAGAGGAAAGCAGAAUUUCUAGUGUAGAGGUGAAAUUCGUAGAUAUUAGAAAGAAUACCAAUUGCGAAGGCAGCUUUCUGGAUCAUUACUGACACUGAGGAACGAAAGCAUGGGUAGCGAAGAGGAUUAGAUACCCUCGUAGUCCAUGCCGUAAACGAUGUGUGUUAGACGUUGGAAAUUUAUUUUCAGUGUCGCAGGGAAACCGAUAAACACACCGCCUGGGGAAUACGACCGCAAGGUUAAAACUCAAAUGAAUUGACGGGGACCCGCACAAGUAGUGGAGCAUGUGGUUUAAUUCGAAGAUACGCGCAGAACCUUACCAACACUUGACAUGUUCGUCGCGACUCUAAGAGAUUAGAGUUUUCGGUUCGGCCGGACGAAACACAGGUGCUGCAUGGCUGUCGUCAGCUCGUGUCGUGAGAUGUUGGGUUAAGUCCCGCAGCGAGCGCAACCCUCACUUUUAGUUGCCAUCAUUACGUUGGGCACUCUGAAAGAACUGCCAGUGAUAAGCUGGAGGAAGGUGGGGAUGACGUCAAGUCCUCAUGGCCCUUAUGUGUUGGGCUACACACGUGCUACAAUGGCAUCUACAACAGGAAGCAAAACGGCAACGUUAAGCAAAUCCCGAAAAGAUGCCUCAGUUCGGAUUGCACUCUGCAACUCGAGUGCAUGAAGCUGGAAUUACUAGUAAUCGUGGAUCAGCGUGCCACGGUGAAUGCGUUCCCGGGUCUUGUACACACCGCCCGUCACACCAUGGGAGUUGGUUCUACCUUAAGGCAAGGUUUCAAACCCUUGACCACGGUAUAGUCAGCGACUGGGGUGAAGUCGUAACAAGGUAGCCGUAGGGGAACCUGCGGCUGGAUUACCUCCUUUCUAAGGAUGAGUGAAAGAGAAAAAUUUUACUCUAAAUAAUAUACAUCGGUAAUGUUGACCGUCCUCAUUUCUCUUCUUAAAGUAAUGUUUCCUUCUUGUAGGGCCGGUAGCUCAGUUGGUUAGAGCACACCCUUGAUAAGGGUGGGGUCGAAAGUUCGAGUCUUUCUCGGCCCACCAAAAACCUAAAUGGGGGAUUAGCUCAUCUGGGAGAGCGCCUGAUUUGCAUUCAGGAGGUAGCAGGUUCGAUCCCUGUAUCCUCCACCAGGAAACAUUUGGUUAUUAAAACUGUAAAUAAAAAUAAUUUAUAUCAAUAUCUAUAUCCGAACAUUAAAAGUUAUUAUUUAAUGUUCAAAAUAAAAAUUUGAUCACAACAUAGAUUAAUUUUCUGUUAAAAGAAUUUUUUUCUGUGCAUAAAUCAAGCGUUUAAGGGCGUGUAGUGGAUGCCUUGGCACUGAAAGCCGAUGAAGGACGUGAUAUACUGCGAUAAGUUUCGGGGAGUUGUAUGUAAGCUUUGAUCCGAAAAUUU